rnacentral:rRNA from 1 species
UACAGAGGUCCCAAGCGUUGUUCGGAUUCACUGGGCGUAAAGGGUGCGUAGGUGGUGGGGUAAGUUUGAUGUGAAAUCUCCGGGCUUAACCCGGAAAUGGCAUUGAAUACUAUUCCGCUAGAGGUUUGGAGGGGGGACUGGAAUUCUCGGUGUAGCAGUGAAAUGCGUAGAGAUCGGAAAGAACGUCAAUGGCGAAGGCAGCCACCUGGCAUAAUACUGACGCUGAGGCGCGAAAGCGUGGGGAGCGAACAGG